UACGGGGGGAGCAAGCGUUGUUCGGAUUUACUGGGCGUAAAGGGCGCGUAGGCGGCCAGCACAAGUCAGUUGUGAAAUCUCCGAGCUUAACUCGGAACGGUCAACUGAUACUGUGCGGCUAGAGUGCAGAAGGGGCAACUGGAAUUCUCGGUGUAGCGGUGAAAUGCGUAGAUAUGUCACAGAACACCAAUUGCGAAGGCAGCUUACUAUGGUUUUAUUGACACUGAGGCACGAAAGCGUGGGGAUCAAACAGG
rnacentral:rRNA from 1 species